GAUGAAGAACGUAGCGAAAUGCGAUAAGUAAUGUGAAUUGCAGAAUUCAGUGAAUCAUCGAAUCUUUGAACGCACAUUGCGCCCCCUGGUAUUCCGGGGGGCAUGCCUGUUCGAGCGUCAUUUCACCACUCAAGCCUCGCUUGGUAUUGGACAACGCGGUCCGCCGCGUGCCUCAAAUCGACCGGCUGGGUCUUCUGUCCCCUAAGCGUUGUGGAAACUAUUCGCUAAAGGGUGUUCGGGAGGCUACGCCGUAAAACAACCCCAUUUCUAAGGUUGACCUCGGAUCAGGUAGGGAUACCCGCUGAACUUAAGCAUAUCAAUAAGCGGAGGA
rnacentral:misc_RNA from 1 species